GAUGAACGCUGGCGGCGUGCCUAAUACAUGCAAGUCGAGCGAACGGACGAGAAGCUUGCUUCUCUGAUGUUAGCGGCGGACGGGUGAGUAACACGUGGAUAACCUACCUAUAAGACUGGGAUAAAUUCGGGAAACCGUAGCUAAUACCGGAUAAUAUUUUGAACCGCAUGGUUCAAAAGUGAAAGACGGUCUUGCUGUCACUGAUAGAUGGAUCCGCGCUGCAUUAGCUAGUUGGUAAGGUAACGGCUUACCAAGGCAACGAUGCAUAGCCGACCUGAGAGGGUGAUCGGCCACACUGGAACUGAGACACGGUCCAGACUCCUACGGGAGGCAGCAGUAGGGAAUCUUCCGCAAUGGGCGAAAGCCUGACGGAGCAACGCCGCGUGAGUGAUGAAGGUCUUCGGAUCGUAAAACUCUGUUAUUAGGGAAGAACAUAUGUGUAAGUAACUGUGCACAUCUUGACGGUACCUAAUCAGAAAGCCACGGCUAACUACGUG
rnacentral:rRNA from 1 species